rnacentral:rRNA from 1 species
UUUAAGGUCUAACCUGCCCAAUGAGGAUUUAAAUGGCCGCAGUAUUUUGACUGUGCAAAGGUAGCAUAAUUAUUAGUUUUUUAAUUGAAAGCUUGUAUGAAGGGUUGGACGAGAUAAAAUCUGUCUUUAUUUAAAUUAAAGUAUAAUUUAACUUUUAAGUCAAAAGGCUUAAAUGUUUAUAAAAGACGAGAAGACCCUAUAGAUCUUUAUUUAGUUAAGAUUUUAACAAUUUAGGAUUAUUUUAAUUUGGAGUCUUAGUUAAAUUUUAUUGGGGUAAUAUAAAGAUUAAAUAAAUUCUUUUUAUUUAUGACAUUAAUUUAUGAAUAUAUGAUCCAUUAAUAUUGAUUAUAAGAUUAAGUUACCUUAGGGAUAACAGCGUAAUUUUUUUGGAGAGCUCAUAUCGAUAAGAAAGUUUGCGACCUCGAUGUUGGAUUAAAAGUUAGCUUGGGUGCAGAAGCUCAAGAUUUUGGUCUGUUCGACCAUUAAAUUUUUACAUGAUCUGAGUUCAGACCGGCGUAAGCCAGGUCGGUUUCUAUCUUUAUUCAGAUAAAAUAUUUUAGUACGAAAGGACCAAGUAUUUAAUAUAAUUAUAUUUAUUUUUUGAAGAAUAUU